rnacentral:rRNA from 1 species
UAGUCCACGCCGUAAACGAUGAGUACUAGCUUUUAGGGGUAUUGACUCCCUUGGAGGCGCAGCUAACGCAUUAAGUACUCCGCCUGGGAAGUACGGUCGCAAGACUAAAACUCAAAGGAAUUGACGGGGGCCCGCACAAGCGGUGGAUUAUGUGGUUUAAUUCGAAGCAACGCGCAGAACCUUACCUAGGCUUGAAAUCCUCAGAAUUCCGAGUAAUGUUGGAAGUGCCCGCAAGGGAAUUGAGUGACAGGUGCUGCAUGGCUGUCGUCAGCUCGUGUUGUGAAAUGUUGGGUUAAGUCUCGCAACGAGCGCAACCCCUAUCUUUAGUUGCCAGCAUUAAGUUGGGCACUCUAGAGAGACUGCCCGGGUUAACCGGGAGGAAGGUGGGGAUGACGUCAAGUCCUCAUGGCCCUUAUGCCUAGGGCUACACACGUAAUACAAUGGUUGGUACAGAGGGAAGCGAUCGGGUGACCGUUAGCAAAUCUCAAAAGCCAAUCUCAGUCCGGAUUGGAGUCUGCAACUCG